rnacentral:ncRNA from 1 species
GACCCGAAAAAUGUUCAAUUAUGCUCAAUCAGCUCAAAGUCAUGGAAAACCCUGAUGGUGUACCGAAGCAAUUCUGGAGAGUAAAACGAUUACCAAAAUUUGGAAUAGGGGCGAAAAACUGAUCUAUUGGCUGA